GAAUCGGUAGCUCAGUUGGUAGAGCAUCGGCCUUUUAAGCCGCUGGUCGGGGGUUCGAGCCCCCCCCGAUUCA
rnacentral:tRNA from 1 species